GGGCAAUUGAGCACAAAACAGUGCGCCUCGUUCACACCGAGGAGGUCACUGGUUCAAAUCCAGUACUGCCCA
rnacentral:tRNA from 1 species